GCGCUAACGUUACGCCAGACUGCAAAUUUGGAGACGCACCCUAAAAAGGUGCCGGGGCUUCUCCCGUUUUAAGAGAGACGGGAGAAGG
rnacentral:tRNA from 1 species